rnacentral:rRNA from 1 species
GGGAGCUUGCUCCCGGAUGUUAGCGGCGGACGGGUGAGUAACACGUGGGUAACCUGCCUGUAAGACUGGGAUAACUCCGGGAAACCGGAGCUAAUACCGGAUAGUUCCUUGAACCGCAUGGUUCAAGGAUGAAAGACGGUUUCGGCUGUCACUUACAGAUGGACCCGCGGCGCAUUAGCUAGUUGGUGAGGUAACGGCUCACCAAGGCGACGAUGCGUAGCCGACCUGAGAGGGUGAUCGGCCACACUGGGACUGAGACACGGCCCAGACUCCUACGGGAGGCAGCAGUAGGGAAUCUUCCGCAAUGGACGAAAGUCUGACGGAGCAACGCCGCGUGAGUGAUGAAGGUUUUCGGAUCGUAAAGCUCUGUUGUUAGGGAAGAACAAGUGCAAGAGUAACUGCUUGCACCUUGACGGUACCUAACCAGAAAGCCACGGCUAACUACGUGCCAGCAGCCGCGGUAAUACGUAGGUGGCAAGCGUUGUCCGGAAUUAUUGGGCGUAAAGGGCUCGCAGGCGGUUUCUUAAGUCUGAUGUGAAAGCCCCCGGCUCAACCGGGGAGGGUCAUUGGAAACUGGGAAACUUGAGUGCAGAAGAGGAGAGUGGAAUUCCACGUGUAGCGGUGAAAUGCGUAGAGAUGUGGAGGAACACCAGUGGCGAAGGCGACUCUCUGGUCUGUAACUGACGCUGAGGAGCGAAAGCGUGGGGAGCGAACAGGAUUAGAUACCCUGGUAGUCCACGCCGUAAACGAUGAGUGCUAAGUGUUAGGGGGUUUCCGCCCCUUAGUGCUGCAGCUAACGCAUUAAGCACUCCGCCUGGGGAGUACGGUCGCAAGACUGAAACUCAAAGGAAUUGACGGGGGCCCGCACAAGCGGUGGAGCAUGUGGUUUAAUUCGAAGCAACGCGAAGAACCUUACCAGGUCUUGACAUCCUCUGACAACCCUAGAGAUAGGGCUUUCCCUUCGGGGACAGAGUGACAGGUGGUGCAUGGUUGUCGUCAGCUCGUGUCGUGAGAUGUUGGGUUAAGUCCCGCAACGAGCGCAACCCUUGAUCUUAGUUGCCAGCAUUCAGUUGGGCACUCUAAGGUGACUGCCGGUGACAAACCGGAGGAAGGUGGGGAUGACGUCAAAUCAUCAUGCCCCUUAUGACCUGGGCUACACACGUGCUACAAUGGACAGAACAAAGGGCUGCGAGACCGCAAGGUUUAGCCAAUCCCACAAAUCUGUUCUCAGUUCGGAUCGCAGUCUGCAACUCGACUGCGUGAAGCUGGAAUCGCUAGUAAUCGCGAUCAGCA